rnacentral:rRNA from 1 species
UACGUAGGGUGCGAGCGUUAAUCGGAAUUACUGGGCGUAAAGCGUGCGCAGGCGGUUAUGUAAGACAGAUGUGAAAUCCCCGGGCUCAACCUGGGAACUGCAUUUGUGACUGCAUAGCUAGAGUACGGUAGAGGGGGAUGGAAUUCCGCGUGUAGCAGUGAAAUGCGUAGAGAUGCGGCGGAACACCCGGAUGGCGAAGGCAGCCCCCUGGGUUAACACUGACGCCUCGAGGCACGAAAGCGUGGGGAGCAAACAGG